rnacentral:rRNA from 1 species
AUUGAACGCUGGCGGCAGGCUUAACACAUGCAAGUCGAGCGAGCGGCGGACGGGUGAGUAAUGUCUGGGAAACUGCCUGAUGGAGGGGGAUAACUACUGGAAACGGUAGCUAAUACCGCAUACCAUCAGAUGUGCCCCGAUGGGCUUAGCUAGUAGGUGGGGUAAUGGCUCACCUGGGCAACGUUCCCGAGCUGGUCUGAAAGGAUGACCGGCCAAACUGGAACUGUGACACGGUCCAGACUCCUACGGGAGGCAGCAUUGGGGAAUAUUGCACAAUGGGCGAAAGCCUGAUGCAGCCAGGCCGCGUGUGUGAAGAAGGCCUUCGGGUUGUAAAGCACUUUCAGCGAGGAGUCGUUACUCGCAGAAGAAGCACCGGCUAACUCCGUGCCAGCAGCCGCGGUAAUUC